UCGCUAGUACUCACCGCUUACGUCAUACAGUUCACAACAGCUCAACGCUUUCAUUUUGCCAGUUGGAUUUGUAUCAGGGACUCCACAAUUCAGCUACUGUAACUACACUUUCAUCACUAGAGAAGGAGAUCUCUUCCUUCAUCAGGAAUAUAGGUUUCAUCCCCAUCAUAAUACUCCUCACUGUCAGUGUCAGUGUAAUCUGAUAUACCCCGCCCCCCGGAAUCUGGAUGCACUUCAGAGGAUUCAAUCUGUGAUUGUAAUUUUUUGAUGUGAACUGGACUUUCUACCUCGAAUAUGCAUCACUACUAUGCUUCCGAAGACCCUCAUACGGCUUAUAUUUGGUUUUCCCGAUAUCCACAUGGAGUUUUCUUGUUUGGAGCUGUAAGCUUGAAAAUGUCCGUAUACAGAAAUUUUCAAACCUAUACAAUAAACUUUAUUGUAUGAGUUUGCAAAUAGGAUGAAACUACAGUAAAGUUAGUUACAAAUAAAAGUGGUA